rnacentral:tRNA from 1 species
UGCAACUUAGUUUAAUUAGAACCUCCAACUUGCACUUGGAAGGAGAGGUGUCUCAGUAGCGG